UAAUGUAUAGGAAUGCAAGCCAUGAUUGAGAAGGUCAAAUUGAUCAUCAUUCAAUGAGAACACUUACAAAUCAGACUUCUGUUUUGUUUCAUUUUAUUUUUUAAGCAACACUAUCUCUCAUUUGAAACAGAUGAUACAUUUUUGAUUAAACAUAAGCCAGGCACAACUCAUGCUUUUGUCAUGGUGACCCUCUUCAGGGCAGCCAUGAUUGCACUUGGUGGGAAAGAGAAAGACUGAAUUGGAGAGGAAUUUACUGUGAAUUAGUCAUGAGAGUGAUGACUACCCAGACGAAAUUAAGGGUAAGGUAAGAAUUUGAAGACGUUUGUUUUCCCCAAAGUUUAAU
rnacentral:lncRNA from 1 species